rnacentral:misc_RNA from 1 species
AGCAGCCGCGGUAAUUCCAGCUCCAAUAGCGUAUAUUAAAGUUGUUGUGGUUAAAAAGCUCGUAGUUGAACCUUGGGCCUGGCUGGCCGGUCCGCCUCACCGCGUGUACUGGUCCGGCCGGGCCUUUCCCUCUGUGGAACCCCAUGCCCUUCACUGAGUGUGGCGGGGAAACAGGACUUUUACUUUGAAAAAAUUAGAGUGCUCCAGGCAGGCCUAUGCUCGAAUACAUUAGCAUGGAAUAAUAGAAUAGGACGUGUGGUUCUAUUUUGUUGGUUUCUAGGACCGCCGUAAUGAUUAAUAGGGACAGUCGGGGGCAUCAGUAUUCAAUUGUCAGAGGUGAAAUUCUUGGAUUUAUUGAAGACUAACUACUGCGAAAGCAUUUGCCAAGGAUGUUUUCAUUAAUCAGGAACGAAAGUUAGGGGAUCGAAGACGAUCAGAUACCGUCGUAGUCUUAACCAUAAACUAUGCCGACUAGGGAUCGGACGAUGUUAUUAUUGACUCGUUCGGCACCUUACGGGAA